rnacentral:rRNA from 1 species
GACGAACGCUGGCGGCGUGCCUAAUACAUGCAAGUCGAACGCACGGGCGAGGAGCUUGCUCUUCUGGGGUUAGCUGCGGACGGGUGAGUAACGCGUAGGUAACCUGCCUAUUAGAGUGGGAUAACUUCUGGAAACCAUAGCUAAUACCGCAUAACAAUUUGUGACACAUGGUUCUAAAUUGAAAGACGCUAUUGCUCUACCAUAUAGUUGAAUCGCGGUUGCUUUGGUUAGUUGUGAGGGAAACGCCUUACCAAGGCAACGAUGCAUAGCCGACCUGGAGGGGUGAUCGGCAACAUGGGACCUGAGAACCGGCCCAGACUCCUACGGGAGGCGGCAGUGGGGAAUCUUGGGAAAGGGGCGAAAGCCUGACGGAGCAACGCGGCGGGGGUGAGGAAGGUCUUCGGUUCGUAAAACCUUGUGAAAGGGGAGGAACAGAGGUGGAAUGAACAGUGCACACUUUGACGGUACCUAAUCAGAAAGCCACGGCUAACUACGUG